AGUGAACGCUGGCGGUAGGCCUAACACAUGCAAGUCGAACGGCAGCACAGUAAGAGCUUGCGCUUACGGGUGGCGAGUGGCGGACGUGUGAGGAAUACAUCGGAAUCUACUUUUUCGUGGGGGAUAACGUAGGGAAACUUACUCUAAUACCGCAUACGACCUACGGGUGAAAGCAGUGGAUCGUCUGGCCUUUCGCGGUUGAAUGAGCCGCUGUGGGAUUUGCUGGUUGGCGGGGUAAAUGCCCACCAAGGCGACGAUACGUAGCUGGUGUGGGAGGAUGAUCAGCCACACUGGAACUGAGACACGGUCCAGACUCCUACGGGAGGCAGCAGUGGGGAAUAUUGGACAAUGGGCGCAAGCAUGAUCCAGCCAUACCGCGUGGGUGAAGAAGGCCUUCGGGUUGUAAAGCCCUUUUGUUGGGAAAGAAAAGCAGCAGGUUAAUACCCCGCUGUUCUGACGGUACCCAAAGAAUAAGCACCGGCUAACUUCGUG
rnacentral:rRNA from 1 species